CGGAAUUACUGGGCGUAAAGGGCGCGUAGGCGGUCUUCUAAGUCUUGUGUGAAAUCCCUCGGCUCAACUGAGGAACUGCACGGGAUACUGGAAGACUUGAGUUCGGGAGAGGGAAGCGGAAUUCCGGGUGUAGCGGUGAAAUGCGUAGAUAUCCGGAGGAACACCGGUGGCGAAGGCGGCUUCCUGGACCGAUUACUGACGCUGAGGCGCGAAAGCUAGGGGAGCAAACGGG
rnacentral:rRNA from 1 species